rnacentral:rRNA from 1 species
GACGAACGCUGGCGGCGUGCCUAAUACAUGCAAGUUGAGCGCUGAAGGUUGGUACUUGUACCAACUGGAUGAGCAGCGAACGGGUGAGUAACGCGUGGGGAAUCUGCCUUUGAGCGGGGGACAACAUUUGGAAACGAAUGCUAAUACCGCAUAAAAACUUUAAACACAAGUUUUAAGUUUGAAAGAUGCAAUUGCAUCACUCAAAGAUGAUCCCGCGUUGUAUUAGCUAGUUGGUGAGGUAAAGGCUCACCAAGGCGAUGAUACAUAGCCGACCUGAGAGGGUGAUCGGCCACAUUGGGACUGAGACACGGCCCAAACUCCUACGGGAGGCAGCAGUAGGGAAUCUUCGGCAAUGGACGAAAGUCUGACCGAGCAACGCCGCGUGAGUGAAGAAGGUUUUCGGAUCGUAAAACUCUGUUGGUAGAGAAGAACGUUGGUGAGAGUGGAAAGCUCAUCAAGUGACGGUAUCUACCCAGAAAGGGACGGCUAACUACGUG